AUGCCAUCGAGCCAAGAAAAGUUUCUAAGUUUAGCUAAUGUUGCCCGUACCGUAAACCGACACAGGUGGGUGGGAUGAGUAUUCUAAGGCGCGUGGAAGAACUCUCUUUAAGGAACUCUGCAAAAUAGCACCGUAUCUUCGGUAUAAGGUGUGGUUCGCUUCGUAUUAGGAUUUACUCCGAAAGCGAAGAAACUUACAACAAAGAGUCCCUCCCGACUGUUUACCAAAAACACAGCACUCUGCUAACUCGUAAGAGGAUGUAUAGGGUGUGACGCCUGCCCGGUGCUCGAAGGUUAAUUGAUGGGGUUAGCAUUAGCGAAGCUCUUGAUCGAAGCCCGAGUAAACGGCGGCCGUAACUAUAACGGUCCUAAGGUAGCGAAAUUCCUUGUCGGUUAAAUACCGACCUGCAUGAAUGGCGUAACGAGAUGGGAGCUGUCUCAAAGAGGGAUCCAGUGAAAUUGUAGUGGAGGUGAAAAUUCCUCCUACCCGCGGCAAGACGGAAAGACCCCGUGGACCUUUACUACAGCUUGACACUGCUAUUUGGAUAAGAAUGUGCAGGAUAGGUGGGAGGCUUUGAGUAUAUGACGCCAGUUGUAUAUGAGCCAUUGUUGAGAUACCACUCUUUCUUAUUUGGGUAGCUAACCAGCUUGAGUUAUCCUCAAGUGGGACAAUGUCUGGUGGGUAGUUUGACUGGGGCGGUCGCCUCCCAAAUAAUAACGGAGGCUUACAAAGGUUGGCUCAGAACGGUUGGAAAUCGUUCGUAGAGUAUAAAGGUAUAAGCCAGCUUAACUGCAAGACAUACAAGUCAAGCAGAGACGAAAGUCGGUCUUAGUGAUCCGGUGGUUCUGUGUGGAAGGGCCAUCGCUCAAAGGAUAAAAGGUACCCCGGGGAUAACAGGCUGAUCUCCCCCAAGAGCUCACAUCGACGGGGAGGUUUGGCACCUCGAUGUCGGCUCAUCGCAUCCUGGGGCUGGAGCAGGUCCCAAGGGUAUGGCUGUUCGCCAUUUAAAGCGGUACGCGAGCUGGGUUCAGAACGUCGUGAGACAGUUCGGUCCCUAUCUGCCGUGGGCGUAAGAAGAUUGAAGAGAUUUGACCCUAGUACGAGAGGACCGGGUUGAACAAACCACUGGUGUAGCUGUUGUUCUGCCAAGAGCAUCGCAGCGUAGCUAAGUUUGGAAAGGAUAAACGCUGAAAGCAUCUAAGCGUGAAGCCAACUCUAAGAUGAAUCUUCUCUAAGCUCUCUAGAAGACUACUAGUUUGAUAGGCUGGGUGUGUAAUGGAUGAAAGUCCUUUAGCUGACCAGUACUAAUAGAGCGUUUGGCUUAUCUUU
rnacentral:rRNA from 1 species